GAUGAACGCUAGCGGGAGGCCUAACACAUGCAAGCCGAGCGGGAUUUGUUGGUUAGCUUGCUAACUAACAAUGAGAGCGGCGUACGGGUGCGUAGCACGUGUGCAACCUGCCUUUAUCUGGGGGAUAGCCUUUCGAAAGGAAGAUUAAUACCCCAUAACAUAUUGAUUGGCAUCAGUUAAUAUUGAAAGCUCCGGCGGAUAGAGAUGGGCACGCGUAAGAUUAGCUAGUUGGUGAGGUAACGGCUCACUAAGGCUGCGAUCUUUAGGGGGCCUGAGAGGGGGAUCCCCCACACUGGUACUGCGACACGGACCAGACUGGUACGGGAGGCAGCAGUGAGGAAUAUUGGACGAUGGGUGAGAGCCUGAUCCAGCCACCCCGCGUGAAGGACUAAGGACCUAUGGUUUGUAAACUUCUUUUAUACAGGGAGAAUCCUACUCUCGUGAGGGUAGCUGAAGGUACUGGAUGAAUAAGCACCGGCUAACUCCGUG
rnacentral:rRNA from 1 species